AGUGAACGCUGGCGGCAGGCCUAACACAUGCAAGUCGAACGGCAGCACAAGAGAGCUUGCUCUCUGGGUGGCGAGUGGCGGACGGGUGAGGAAUGCAUCGGAAUCUGCCCAUUUGUGGGGGAUAACCUCGGGAAACCGGGACUAAUACCGCAUACGACCUACGGGUGAAAGCAGGGGAUCUUCGGACCUUGCGCAGGUGGAUGAGCCGAUGCCGGAUUAGAUAGUUGGAGGGGUAAGGGCCCACCAAGGCGACUAUCCGUUGAUGGUGUGAGAGGAUGAUGGGCGGCCUGGGGAGUGGGCCAGGGCCAAGACGCCUAAGGGAGGCAGCAGUGGGGAACGUGGGACAGAGGGCGCAAGCCUGACCCAGCCAGGCCGCGUGUGUUAAGAAGGCGUUCGGGGUGGAAAGAACUUUUGUUGGGAAAGAAAAGCAUCCGGUUAAUACCCGGUUGUAAUGACGGUACCCAAAGAAUAAGCACCGGCUAACUUCGUG
rnacentral:rRNA from 1 species